rnacentral:rRNA from 1 species
UGCCAGCCGCCGCGGUAAUACGGAGGGUGCAAGCGUUGCUCGGAAUAACUGGGCGUAAAGAGCAUGUAGGCGGGUUGAUAAGUUGGCUGUGAAAGCCCAGAGCUUAACUCUGGAACUGCAUCCAAAACUGUCGAUCUUGAGUAUAGGAGGGGGUUGUGGAAUUCCCGGUGUAGCGGUGAAAUGCGUAGAGAUCGGAAGGAAUACCGGUGGCGAAGGCGGCCUCCUGGACCAAUAUUGACGCUGAGGUGCGAAAGCGUGGGUAGCAAACAGGAUUAGAUA